AGUAGCUCAGACAAUUGACUUUGCAAAAUUUUGCACAAUAAGCAAAAUGGAGAAAUACAAUCGGCCGACUUUGGACGCCGAACUUCCCAAGCCCUCUUCCGACGCGGACGAGUUUAUCAGUCCCCCUCUGGUUAACCCCAAUAUGGUGGCAAUAUCGAUCUGUGACCUGUGGAUGCGGGACAACGUAUGAAUUCGAGGCGUCACACGGGGACGGGGCUGCUGUUUGUUACUUCAAGUGUGACGAUUGUGGUGAUCAGGGCCACUUUCAACUUCCGCCAAGUGAUGGAGCUUUUCAAGCUCGCCUCUGACAAAUUCCACAUUCUCGUAUGAAUCUGGGUUCCCCUUCUAUCCUUCCAUGCAGCUACUUUAUUUUUUUUCCUUCCCUAAAUCAGGAUUUGGUUUCAUGUAAGGGUGCCAAACACCACUAUAUGAGUUUUUAUAUUACUUCAUCACUCUUCUCUUAUGGCAUUAUGUCUUUCCUAGUUUGGAUGUGUUUUCUUAAUGGCUGGAAAUGGAAUAUGUCUACAUAGUUUUUUUUUUUUUUGUUUAUUGUGUUCAAAAAAUGUUUUUAGCAAUUUUUAAGAUUUACCAAACAAUGUUGGCUGCCUAAAGUUCAUUUUAGCAAUCAUUGUAGAUAUGAUGGUGUCAUCAUCCUAAUUUUACAUUUGAUAGUGCACAAUGUGUGUAUAUAUAUAUAUAUAUAGCAUUUUCCUAGAGAAAAGAACCGCCAUAGGCUA